rnacentral:rRNA from 1 species
CCUACGGGUGGCACCAGUAGGGAAUCUUCCGCAAUGGACGAAAGUCUGACGGAGCAACGCCGCGUGAGUGAUGAAGGCUCUCGGGUCGUAAAACUCUGUUGUUAGGGAAGAACAAGUGCUAGUUGAAUAAGCUGCACCUUGACGGUACCUAACCAGAAAGCCACGGCUAACUACGUGCCAGCAGCCGCGGUAAUACGUAGGUGGCAAGCGUUAUCCGGAAUUAUUGGGCGUAAAGCGCGCGCAGGUGGUUUCUUAAGUCUGAUGUGAAAGCCCACGGCUCAACCGUGGAGGGUCAUUGGAAACUGGGAGACUUGAGUGCAGAAGAGGAAAGUGGAAUUCCAUGUGUAGCGGUGAAAUGCGUAGAGAUAUGGAGGAACACCAGUGGCGAAGGCGACUUUCUGGUCUGUAACUGACACUGAGGCGCGAAAGCGUGGGGAGCAAACAGGAUUAGAUACCCGAGUAGUC